AUUGAACGCUGGCGGUAGGCCUAACACAUGCAAGUCGAACGAGUGGCGGACGGGUGAGUAAUGUCUGGGAAAUUGCCUGAUGGAGGGGGAUAACUACUGGAAACGGUAGCUAAUACCGCAUACCAUCAGUAGUGCCCAGAUGGGAUUAGCUUGUUGGUGGGGUAACGGCUCACCACGGCGACGAUCCCUAGCUGUUCUGAGAGGGUGACGAGUCACGUUGUAACUGAGACACGGUCCAGACUCCUACGUGAGGCAGCAGUGGGGAAUAUUGCACACUGGGCGCAAGCCGGAUGCAGCCAUGCCGCGUGUAUGAAGAAGGCCUUCGGGUUGUAAAGUACUUUCAGCGGAGAGGCGUUACCCGCAGAAGAAGUACCGGCUAACUCCGUGCCAGCAGCCGCGGUAAUUC
rnacentral:rRNA from 1 species